CCUAGCGGACUCUCCCGGUCUCGCUGUCCGCGGCCCCGCCGCCGCCGCCGCCGCCAUGCUGAUGAACAAGUCGACCUCCUCGCCGGCGGCCUUGCGGUCCCCGUGGGUGCUCGGGAGGCCGGGCUCGUUCUCAGUGCAUUAAAUAGAAGAAGAAUGCCUAUAUGUUGCCGAAUUCCGAGAUGACGAGCUCGAAUUCCGAAGCCCCAUUGGCUCCGAUGGGAAGGAAGGGGAUCUAUCGGCUGUGCCAAGUCCAAGAAGGGGUAUAUCUGAAAGAAGAGCAGCCAGAUCUGAACGGCCAUCUGGUAGUGCUUGCUGGGCAUGCUUUUGUUGCUGUUAUGUUGAACUUCUGCAUGCCUUACAGAACACAAAGAAAACCAUGCAUGGAGGUGGAUUUGACUUCAAGAAAAAGAUUUACGAGUAUCACUUUAAAAACAGGCUGUAUGUUGGAAGGAACGCCCUCAAUGUAAGCUGCACGUUUGAAAUCUAAUAAAGAUAUAAGAUUGUUUGCUUAGUUAAUUAAGUAUGAUUUCCAAUCUUGGGAUCUGCCGUCUUA